rnacentral:rRNA from 1 species
GAUGAACGCUAGCGGCAGGCUUAACACAUGCAAGUCGUGGGGCAGCAUAAGGGUAGCAAUACUCUGGUGGCGACCGGCAAACGGGUGCGGAACACGUACGCAACCUUCCUCAAAGCGGGGGAUAGCCUCUCGAAAGAGAGAUUAAUACCCCAUAGUAUAUUGAAACUGCAUGGUUUUAAGAUUAAAGCUCCGGCACUUUGAGAUGGGCGUGCGGCUGAUUAGGUAGUUGGUAGGGUAACGGCCUACCAAGCCAACGAUCAGUAGCUGAUGGAGGAGCAUGAUCAGCCAGACGGGCACUGAGCCACGGGCCCGACUCCUACGGGAGGCAGCAGUGAGGAAUAUUGGUCAAUGGAGGCAACUCUGAACCAGCCAUGCCGCGUGAAGGAUGAAGGUCCUCUGGAUUGUAAACUUCUUUUAUUGGGGAAGAAACCCGCGUUUUCUAAUGCGGUUGACGGUACCCAAGGAAUAAGCACCGGCUAACUCCGUGCCAGCCGCCGCGGUAACAC